rnacentral:rRNA from 1 species
GACGAACGCUGGCGGCGUGCUUAACACAUGCAAGUCGAACGGAAAGGCACUGCUUGUGUGGGGUGCUCGAGUGGCGAAGGGGUGAGUAAGACGUGAGUAACGUGCCCUUGACUUUGGGAUAACUUCAGGAAACUGGGGCUAAUACCGGAUAGGAGCUGCUGCUGCAUGGUGGGGGUUGGAAAUUUUCGGCGGUUUGGGUUGGACUCGCGGCUUAUCAGCUUGUUGGUGGGGUAGUGGCUUACCCAGGCUUUGACGGGUAGCCGGCCUGAGAGGGUGACCGGCCACAUUGGGCCUGCGAUACGGCCCAGACUCCUACGGUAGACAGCAGUGGGGAAUAUUGCACAAUGGGCGGAAGCCUGAUGCAGCAACGCCGCGUGCGGGAUGACGGCCUUCGGGUUGUAAACCGCUUCCGCCUGUGACGAAGCGUGAGUGACGGUAAUGGGUAAAGAAGCACCGGCUAACUACGUG